GACGAACGCUGGCGGCGUGCCUAAUACAUGCAAGUAGAACGCACAGUUUAUACCGUAGCUUGCUACACCAUAGACUGUGAGUUGCGAACGGGUGAGUAACGCGUAGGUAACCUGCCUGGUAGCGGGGGAUAACUAUUGGAAACGAUAGCUAAUACCGCAUAAUAUUGAUUAUUGCAUGAUAAUUAAUUGAAAGGUGCAAUUGCACCACUACCAGCUGGACCUGCGUUGUAUUAGCUAGUAGGUGAGGUAACGGCUCACCUAGGCGACGAUACAUAGCCGACCUGAGAGGGUGAUCGGCCACACUGGGACUGAGACACGGCCCAGACUCCUACGGGAGGCAGCAGUAGGGAAUCUUCGGCAAUGGACGAAAGUCUGACCGAGCAACGCCGCGUGAGUGAAGAAGGUUUUCGGAUCGUAAAGCUCUGUUGUAAGAGAAGAACGGGUGUGAGAGUGGAAAGUUCACACUGUGACGGUAUCUUACCAGAAAGGGACGGCUAACUACGUG
rnacentral:rRNA from 1 species